rnacentral:rRNA from 1 species
GAUGAACGCUGGCGGCGUGCCUAAUACAUGCAAGUCGAGCGAACAGAUGAGGAGCUUGCUCCUCUGACGUUAGCGGCGGACGGGUGAGUAACACGUGGAUAACCUACCUAUAAGACUGGGAUAACUUCGGGAAACCGGAGCUAAUACCGGAUAAUAUAUUGGACCGCAUGGUUCAAUAGUGAAAGACGGUUUUGCUGUCACUUAUAGAUGGAUCCGCGCCGCAUUAGCUAGUUGGUAAGGUAACGGCUUACCAAGGCAACGAUGCGUAGCCGACCUGAGAGGGUGAUCGGCCACACUGGAACUGAGACACGGUCCAGACUCCUACGGGAGGCAGCAGUAGGGAAUCUUCCGCAAUGGGCGAAAGCCUGACGGAGCAACGCCGCGUGAGUGAUGAAGGUCUUCGGAUCGUAAAACUCUGUUAUUAGGGAAGAACAAAUGUGUAAGUAACUAUGCACGUCUUGACGGUACCUAAUCAGAAAGCCACGGCUAACUACGUG